rnacentral:rRNA from 1 species
UACGGGGGGGGCAAGCGUUGUUCGGAAUUACUGGGCGUAAAGCGCACGUAGGCGGCUUUGUAAGUAAGAGGUGAAAGCCUGGAGCUCAACUCCAGAAUUGCCUUUUAGACUGCAUCGCUUGAAUCAUGGAGAGGUGAGUGGAAUUCCGAGUGUAGAGGUGAAAUUCGUAGAUAUUCGGAAGAACACCAGUGGCGAAGGCGGCUCACUGGACAUGUAUUGACGCUGAGGUGCGAAAGCGUGGGGAGCAAACAGG